rnacentral:rRNA from 1 species
CCAACCCCUGUGACAUACCAAUUGUUGCCUCGGCGGAUCAGCCCGCUCCCGGUAAAACGGGACGGCCCGCCAGAGGACCCCUAAACUCUGUUUCUAUAUGUAACUUCUGAGUAAAACCAUAAAUAAAUCAAAACUUUCAACAACGGAUCUCUUGGUUCUGGCAUCGAUGAAGAACGCAGCAAAAUGCGAUAAGUAAUGUGAAUUGCAGAAUUCAGUGAAUCAUCGAAUCUUUGAACGCACAUUGCGCCCGCCAGUAUUCUGGCGGGCAUGCCUGUUCGAGCGUCAUUUCAACCCUCAAGCCCAGCUUGGUGUUGGGACUCGCGAGUUAAACCGCGUUCCCCAAAUUGAUUGGCGGUCACGUCGAGCUUCCAUAGCGUAGUAGUAAAACCCUCGUUACUGGUAAUCGUCGCGGCCACGCCGUUAAACCCCAACUUCUGAAUGUUGACCUCGGAUCAGGUAGGAAUACCCGCUGAACUUAAGCA